AAUUAAUAAAUUCGGCCCAAUUCUUAACCUAAAUAUACACACACAAUUACACACUCAAACACACACAUUCAGCCUCACCCUCUCAUCUCUCUCUCUCUCGGACUCCCUCUGUCCGCCUGCCGUUCAACGCGGCCGCCACCGCCGCCGCCGCCGCCGGCGAGCGGCGCGGCUGCUGCCUCUCGCUCCUCCCCUGAACUCUCGUCCUCUCUCACCCUCUCGCCUCUAUCUAUCUAUCUGCCGUACACAGGACGCACGCCGCUGUCAAAGCGGUGCGCCGCCGCCGGUGCCUCCGUCGUCCUCGCGGCAGAUCCGCUACCGCGUCAAGACCACGGCCACCGCCUUUCCUCCCCUCCCUCUAUCUCUCUCUCUCUCCCGUCUCAAUUCUUUCCCUGGAAACAGACGCACGGACACAGCCCCUGAUGUGCCGCCGCCUCCUUUCCUUCGCCGGUGGGCUCACGGCCAGGAGCCGUCGAUCGCCGACAGCCAGGUAAACCCUAACUUCUUUCAUUUUCCCCUUCUUUCCUUUUUAGAUUAAAACUGAAAACUCCUCUCUCUCUCUUUUGAUUUGGCUGAAUCGGAGCAACGGCGACGUCACGGCUGUCACGUUACCGCCGCCGCCGCCGACGACGAGCCACCAUGGCUCCGCCGCUGACCGCCGUCUGAAAACAGAUCGGAAGCCACCGCGGCUCCGUCGCCGUCCGUUGACCGCCGGCAACGACGAGUCACCAAGGCUGCCGCCUCCCUCUGAUCUCGACUCACACACACAAGGCAGGGUCAGCCCCCCCCUUCAAAGGUUUCAAGCCUCAAAUUCAGUCGAACACUUAGCACAUAGGAUUUGAGCAAAAAUCAAAUACUGUAAAUUUCAGUUCAUACGUUAAUACAUGUAAAUUUUUCUUUUGGAUCAUUCUCGUUUGGUGGUUCUCUGAUAUAUUGGAUAAAAGGGGAAUACCUUGAAUAGGUGUGGUGGAAGAUAUUUAUUUCUGCAGAUUUUGUUUAUCA